UUUCCCUUGCUCUCCCCUCUUUCUUCUCCCCUCCUCCCCAAAAAAGAAAAAAUUAAUUGUUGCAAGAGCGGGCAGGGAGCUGCGUGGCGCGGGCAUGCCCGGCCCCCGGCCCGGGGAGUCCCCGGAGGGGAGCGGGGCUGCCCGCCCGCCGGGCGCGGGGCUCCUCCGCCCGCCCUCCCCCGCCUGCCUCCCGCCUAACCCGCGCUCGCUCCCCCCCUUCCCCCGCCGUGGCAAAGCUGGAGCCGCAGGAGAUCCGCCGGGCACAGGGAGGGGACAGAGAUGGGUUGUUUUCUCACAACCCCCCCGCCCCGAGACCUGAGGAGAUGCAGCCCAAGUUCGCCGCGAUGACUCUGCUGCUGGCACCGGGGAUUCUCCGCGGCAUCCCAGCCUCCGGACCGCCUGAAUCCUGCUCCCUCUGAAUCCUCGGCGCCGGGUUAAAGCUUAAUUCUCAUGUCGUGGUUGCUGGGCUGCCGCGCUCCCCUGUCUUGCGAUGGGAGGUGGAGGAAAAGGGAUUGUCCGUGAGUCAACACCGAAAACGUGAUUAGGAGGAACUGCUUUCACUAAUCUGUUUCUAACCUUUCAGUCCUUGUUGGCCUGUGACCCCUCUCAGCUUUCAGAUCGAGCCUGAUUAGACCACAACACUGGUCUCCCUAUGGAAGCAACUGUUUGUAUCUGGCAUUAAGAUCCCAUGGAGAAGCUGAGGAGGGGGAUGGCUCUUCAUAUCCAUGAAGUCUGGAUACUUCUGUUUGUAAUCCCUGGUUUGGUCACUCCAGCUGCCAUCAAUCAUGAAGACUAUCCUGCUGAUGAAGGGGACCAGACCUCCAGUAAUGACAAUCUGAUCUUUGAUGACUACCGGGGGAAGGGCUGUGUGGAUGACAGUGGCUUUGUGUACAAACUGGGAGAACGUUUUUUCCCGGGACAUUCCAACUGUCCCUGUGUCUGUACUGAGGAUGGACCUAUUUGUGAUCAACCAGAAUGCCCUAAAAUCCACCCAAAGUGUACAAAAGUGGAACACAAUGGAUGCUGUCCGGAAUGCAAAGAAGUGAAAAACUUUUGUGAAUAUCAUGGGAAAAAUUACAAGAUCUUGGAAGAAUUUAAGCCCUCGCCAUGCGAAUGGUGUCGCUGCGAGCCCAGCAAUGAAGUUCACUGUGUUGUAGCAGACUGCGCAGUUCCCGAGUGUGUCAACCCAGUCUAUGAACCAGAACAGUGUUGUCCUGUCUGCAAAAAUGAAAUUCCUGAAAUGGCCAGAUUUUAAGGUUGCACUUAACCCCCCUUCAGUCAAAGUCUAUGCAAUAUGCUGCUUGGUUGUGCAGAUGCCAGUUGAAUGUGACCAUCCAAGAGGAGACGUGUUCCCCCACUGGACUUUGCUGGACUCCACCAUCCCUUCCUGGCUCCCAGAGGCCGAAGGCAGUAGUGUAGUGUAGCCACAGCACCCUUCCUUCCUGGGGGAUGAAGCACUGAUGGCACCCAUCCACCAGGCAGCCUCGUGGGCACUCGGUCACCCCACGGCCACCACCUCACCGACAGGGCGGGCUGAGGGGGCACAGCAACGACCGGCUCAUGUUCUUUGGGAUUACCAGCAGGAAUGGGAACUGUGGUGCCCUCUUAGCUCAAGUACAGGAGUGAUUUGAUUACCAACAGAGGAAGAAAGGAUUGAUUUAAAAGCUGGUAGAAGAUCUAGACUGAAAACGAAGUGGUAUAUUUGGGCCAGGCAGACACCAACCCAACACGAUACUGCAGUUUGAGAGAAGUCAUUUCCCUGAAAUUGCCUUUCCAUGGAGCUCACUCGUCCCCAUCACUUUGGGCCAAGUGGUUAAAGGCAUGGAGAUGCCAAACUUUCUGGUGGCAAUUUGACAUGUAAGCACCUGUGAAGAGCAAGACCCUCCAGUGCUUUUGGAAAUCUCCAGCAGCUGGAUUAUCCAGAUGCUUAAAUGCCCUGCUGACUCAAGACUGCCCUGCUCCCCGUGGGCACAGCUGUUGGAAGCGUCAUCUGAUAACAGUGAAAAGCUUUGGAAAGGUUCACAGAGGCUAAACCUUCCAAAAUUAGCCAUCCUGGUGCUGGAUAGCAUCAGGGAGGGCUGAGCUGGAGCUGCCACCUCCCGAAGUUUCAAAGAAAGUGAGACUAAAAGAGGCAAGGGAGAGGAAAAGCCUUUAGAGAACAAAAAAGCCAUGAACUGAGCAGCGCUUAAUGUGAUUAACUCUAUCACACAGCUCAGUGCUCACACAAAGCAGGAGCUGCUGGACUGUGCAGUGCCAGAGUGACAGGGAUGCUGCUGGGAAAAGCUCCAUUCAAAGGGAGCUGCCAUCAGAGCCAGCGGGACAGCAGCCCCUGCAACCCGACGUGUUCACCCGCACGCUCACAGGUCACCUGAUGCUGCCCGAGCCUUUGUGUUCCCUUCCUGUGCCCAGCAAGCAAGAAAAGGACAAUUCACAAAUUAAACACGGCAGGAAAAGGCUCUGCCUAACAGCCAAAGGCCAGGCAGGAGCUGAAAGCUGCUAUCCUGGAUUUGUGCCCCAGGUCCUAACCACGCUUCUGUGCUUCCACCGCAGCAGAGUUCAAAAUGCACCCUAAGGAGAAGGGCUGGGCAGGGUUAUGAGGAGCCAUUUGUCAGAUGGGACUGGCUCCAAAGCUGUCUUUUAGUGGACACAGCUCUCAGAGAUGUGGGAAACCCGUGACAUGGUCUGCGUUGCCCUUUAAACUCAGAAAUGUUUGUGAGGAAGCUUCUGCGCAUCAGGGAUUGUUUCCCCUUGGGAAAAUGUUGCUGAAAUUUGCGUGCACCAGUGGUAGUGCAGGAUUCGCUAUCAUCAUGAUAGUAUGAGGGCCCCAACUGCUUUGCAGGAACCACGAUCAUUCCCGCCGGCAUCGAGGUGAAGGUGGACGACUGCAACAUCUGCCACUGCCACAACGGGGACUGGUGGAAGCCGGCGCAGUGCUCCAAGCGGGAAU